UCCUGAAGUUCCUGCCCUUAUUCGGCACUUUAUUAUCGCAAAAUAAUCAGCUGAUCCCGCUCUCGACUCUCUGAAUGAAGUGACAUGAUUAGUCAGUAUUGUGUGUACGUAUUUUCGUGGAAACAUUCCUCUUCUUGGGAUUUGCCCUCUCACCUUACGUUACGGAUGCUUGAUUGAGACUGAAAGGACAAUGAACGUCGUUCCAUGUCUGCCUGGUUUAAGCUAUGACUACGACAUCGACAUCCAUACGAAUUAGAUCUAGACCUUUCGUCUGAACAAGGGUUUGGUGAGAUUCAUUCUCGUUCUCAAUGCUCUUGGGGACUCCUGAAACUCGUGACAGUCACGUCCUUCUCAAUGAAUGCGAUCGAUUCGUUCCCUUUGAAAAAGUACUCUGAGCAAAGUCCAUAGGUCAAAACCAUGUUGAAUGGAGUGUGCCAGAGAUAUUUGCUUAGAAACUUGAACACAUCCAUCAAUCAGCCCUACAUGCGAAUGGUCUCGGGGAAAUUAUCAGGCCUGAAAUUGGUCGCAAAAAUCAGUGAUCACUCAGACAACCCUUUCUUUGCCUCACACUUUUGCACAUCAUGGGACUUUCUCAAUGAAGUGAAUCCCAACUCACAACUUUGUUCACGAUGAUUUUUUCGGGAACUGGGCGAAACCAAUGGAGGAUUGGAACUCCCGGUACUAUUACAUGUCUAUAUAGUAGUAGUAGUAGUAGUAGUGUACCUCUACAUGAAUUAGCUCUUCUUGCAUCACUCGAUUCACAGACACAAAUAUACAUUGCAUGAAGCCAAAAAAGGGGCUCGCUUGGCUGCAUGUAGCUAGGAUUUCUUAUUUCAGGUCGACGCCAAUGUCAAGUGACUUUCUCUCCGGAAGCAAGGUCUUAAUGUCAACCAAAAUCUUUGAAUCUAGAAUUUGCCGUCGCGGGAGUCUCAUUCUCAUUGAUUUGAUGGAGGCCUCAAGGCAAAAUUGAAGAAGAAAAAAUACACACGAAUGAAUGGUAGAACGGUCCCUCGAAUCGUAUUCGACGACUUCGGUUUGCUCCCAUGUCCAUCGUGGCCUAGCUACGAACUCCGUUCGACUCUUGCGCCAAACGAUUCACUCGAUUCGCUCCUCACUGCUAAAGCUACCAAGAUGCACGACGUUCUCGGUUCUAGUCAAGAUAGAAGCCCAACUCGGCGUUCAAGUGGAUUCCGGUGAAGAACCUGUGAGGAACGUAAACAUUGCCGUCGGUUUUCUUGAGGGGAGACGGCUUUCAGGGGAUUUACCGAUUUAAAAGGCUUGUUUGGAUGGAAUGGAUCAUCCAUCCAGAGGGGAGCAAGUUCUAAUGAGAUGUCUGUUUGUGAAUUGUGUUCCGGUUCUGUUUCGGAUCACAGAGACGUCUUUGUUUGUCCUCAUUUUGAGCUCUUUCAAUUGAGCCGAGACAGAUCUUUAUUGACAAAUGUUGUUCUUUUCAACAUUGAAAAUGGGAUGUCGUCGUCAAAAGAUCCUGUCUGCUAUGGAUCCAAGAAACGAGUUCCAACAAUACAUGGUUUACAGUUUUGUUCA